rnacentral:rRNA from 1 species
ACUUUCCUACGGGGGGCAGCAGUGGGGAAUAUUGGGCAAUGGAGGAAACUCUGACCCAGCAAUGCCGCGUGAAUGAAGAAGGUCUUCGGAUUGUAAAGUUCUUUAGUCAGGGAAGAAGUCAAUGACGGUACCUGAAGAAUAAGCUCCGGCUAACUACGUGCCAGCAGCCGCGGUAAUACGUAGGGAGCAAGCGUUGUUCGGAAUGACUGGGCGUAAAGGGCGCGAAGGCGGUUGUACAAGUUAGAAGAGAAAUACCCAGGGCUUAAAUCGGGUGC